UACGUAGGGUGCAAGCGUUAAUCGGAAUUACUGGGCGUAAAGCGUGCGCAGGCGGUUUUGUAAGUCAGAUGUGAAAUCCCCGGGCUUAACCUGGGAACUGCGUUUGAAACUACAAGGCUAGAGUGUGGCAGAGGGGGGGUGGAAUUCCACGUGUAGCAGUGAAAUGCGUAGAGAUGUGGAGGAACACCGAUGGCGAAGGCAGCCCCCCUGGGUUAACACCGACGCUCAGGCACGAAAGCGUGGGGAGCAAACAGG
rnacentral:rRNA from 1 species